CCAACCUAGUUUUCGAAAGCCGAUUCAGGAAAGAGAGAUGGCGAUGCUGCAGAGAGCCAAACGCCUUCCGCUCCGCGCCGCCGCUGCGGCAGCUGCCAUCGAAUCACGCUUUUUCCUCCGCCGAGCACUUCCUCAAAUUCCCAUCCGCGAGUACCGAAGCAGCUGCUUUCGCAACCACUUGCCCUCCUCAAGGUAUGUGCAACAGUCGCUGCCUAUAAACUGGGGCGUUAACAUCGUGCCGAAAAAGAAAGCCUAUGUAGUGGAGAGGUUCGGAAAGUAUCAUAGGACCCUAGACUCUGGGAUUCACAUUCUUAUCCCGUUCAUCGACAGAAUCACAUACGUGCACUCAGUCGAGGAGGAGCUUGUUGAUCUCAUCCUUGCUUCGUAUGGUGUGGUGGAGAACCCAAUAUAUCUCGUAAUCCAUCUAACAAAGAUGAGGAUGAGGAGUGAGCUGAGGAAGAUGACUCUUGAUAAAACGUUGGAAGAAAGGGAUACUCUAAAUGAGAACAUUACGGUGUGUGUUUAUUUUUCUUCCUAUGCAAUUUCAUCUCUCGCAUGGCAAAAAAUUGCAUUCCUUAUGGACCCGACUAUAAUUUUUAUUUGUUGUACUUUUGUUGGAUAUUUGGAUGAAUGUUUUUUGCUCCCUCAUACUCAUGGUAUUUUACAGUCGACUGUAUGCUCUGCAAAGCAAGGGAAGAUUAUUUUGUCGACAUUCAUGGUUUUCUACAUCACACUAUUCUUUGGAAAUACUAUGAAAUUUCAUGCCUUCACAAUCACAUCUCAUACACUUCGCUUUCCGUAAUAAAAUCAAUGUUUAUAUAGCAACUCCCAACAUGGUCUUAACUUGGAAUUAAUUCAUCCUAUAACUCUGGAGAACUAAUCUUAAAGCUUCUACAUUAAUAUUUUAAGUUAGAACUUUACACUUGGUUGUUUCUUCAAUGAACUGCUUUAUUUUGAGACUUAAAACAUAUUAUAGAGAUAUUUGGGUAAGCAUCAUUCUUUGAGCUGAAGUAAUUCUGUGUAACCUGGUAAUAAGUCCAUAUGAUAGGCCUAGGAUUACUAGCAGUGCAGUUGUGCUCAUGCUUGCAAAACUUUAAUCAAUAUUUUUUUUGGCUUCAUUUUUAUCCAUGUUUUUCCCUUCCACAUAGAGCAAUCAACAAGGUUACUUCUAAUUGGGGUCUUAAAUGUCUGCGUUAUGAAAUCCGGGAUAUAUCUCCACCACCUGGAGUCAAGGCAGCUAUGGAGAUGCAAGCUGAAGCAGAAAAAAGAAAACGUGCUCAAGUUCUUGAAUCUGAAG